AUGAAGAGUCCAUCAGUGUAUCUGCUCCUUGGUGUGUGUGUGCUGCUGCUGUCUGCACUGACUGUUUCUGCAGUCCUUGCCUGCCUGCCUCCAUUUUCUCCGAAUCGAGCAUUCCUCAACUUAAUGAUCAUCAUUCCGUAUUUCAUCUCCACCUUCCUGAUGGUGUCGAUUCAUGAAAGAAUCCAGAGAGGAGCAGGAAGAACCAGCUGAACUGAGACAAGACCGUGGUUUGAAGCUAAGCUCUGUUGAUCUACCUUUGGAAAGAUUUUGGUUGACUGCUGCUAAGGAGUUCCCCAUCUUGUCAAACAGAGCUAUCUCUCUACAACAUAUCGAUGUUGUGUGUUUCUAGCAGGGCUGCUAUAAAAGUUAAAAACAGGAUGUCAGAUCUGUGUUCAUCUAAACAGGCCCAGGUUUCACACUGAGUGAGUCUAAACAAACUGUGAGACUACAUUGUGGAUAUUUGUACUGUAUUUGGCUAUCAUGUAUAAUUUUGGAACAUAUCUGGUUGGUGGUGUGCUACAGGAUAUUUCUGAUCUAUAAAAUGUGCCGUGGGUCAAAAAAGGUUGAAAAAUCCCAAAUUACAGGAUAUUACACCAUAAGUCACAAGUCAUAAAAUCUCACUCUGAACUUUAUGUCUCACAUGAACUGUUGGUGUGUUGUACUGUAGAUAA